UACGGAGGGGGGCUAGCGUUUGUUCGGAAUUACUGGGCGUAAAGCGCACGUAGGCGGCUUUUGUAAGUUAGAGGUGAAAGCCCAGGGCUUAACCCUGGAAUUGCCUUUAAGACUGCAUCGCUAGAAUCGUGGAGAGGUGAGUGGAAUUCCCGAGUGUAGAGGUGAAAUUCGUAGAUAUUCGGAAGAACACCAGUGGCGAAGGCGACUCACUGGA
rnacentral:rRNA from 1 species